rnacentral:lncRNA from 1 species
CAAUUUUAAUCCAAAUUUUACAUAAUCAAUGAAAAACAAAGUUUGUAUAAAAUGAAAAACAAUUAAGUGCGACGAAACCAAAUUACACGUAAAAUAGGAGCAUCACAAACAUAAAAAGAACCCAUUCAAUCAGAAAUUGUAAAUUAACAUCUGCAACAUAAUACCGUCAACAUAUGAUUUUCAAACACCAAUAACCACCUACCACCUAUACUUUCAAUACACCAGAACAACCUAAGAAUCUACCACCAACAACUACAACACAGAAAUUUGUGAAAUAGCCUUCACUUUGAUCAGUAUCCAAACCCAUUAACCACAAGAAGAUGACAUUGCAAAUCAGUAGGACCCCAAUCCCAUCUAAUAUAGCUUCAGAAUUCUACUCUGUUGGACACUGUAUGCCCUGCGAAGAUGGCCAUUAAUAACAGUCUUGCUCAAAACUCUGGGAUGCCGAUGAAGAAUUUUCCAUGAAGAAGUGAAUCUUAGGGUUCGUUAAUUUUGGGGACGAUUUGGAAUCGUUUGGGGGUUUCUCAAUUGCCAUUACGUGGUUCUUAUUAGGGAUUUGGGUUGUUU